rnacentral:rRNA from 1 species
GAUGAACGCUGGCGGCGUGCCUAAUACAUGCAAGUCGAGCGAACGGACGAGAAGCUUGCUUCUCUGAUGUUAGCGGCGGACGGGUGAGUAACACGUGGAUAACCUACCUAUAAGACUGGGAUAACUUCGGGAAACCGGAGCUAAUACCGGAUGAUAUUUUGAACCGCAUGGUUCAAAAGUGAAAGACGGUCUUGCUGUCACUUAUAGAUGGAUCCGCGCUGCUUUAGCUAGUUGGUAAGGUAACGGCUUACCAAGGCAACGAUGCAUAGCCGACCUGAGAGGGUGAUCGGCCACACUGGGACUGAGACACGGUCCAGACUCCUACGGGAGGCAGCAGUAAGGAAUCUUCCGCAAUGGGCGAAAGCCUGACGGAGCAACGCCGCGUGAGUGAUGAAGGUCUUCGGAUCGUAAAACUCUGUUAUUAGAGAAGAACAUAUGUGUAAGUAACUGUGCACAUCUUGACGGUACCUAAUCAGAAAGCCACGGCUAACUACGUG